rnacentral:rRNA from 1 species
UACGUAGGGUGCAAGCGUUGUCCGGAAUUAUUGGGCGUAAAGGGCUCGUAGGCGGUCCAUCGCGUCGGGAGUGAAAAGCUGGGGCUUAACCCCAGUCCUGCUUCCGAUACGGGUGGACUAGAGGUAGGUAGGGGAGAUCGGAAUUCCUGGUGUAGCGGUGAAAUGCGCAGAUAUCAGGAGGAACACCAGUGGCGAAGGCGGUCGUCUGGGCAGAUACUGACGCUGAGGUGCGAAAGCGUGGGGAGCAAACAGG